GUAGCGGAAGUUGCGUUUUACUCAUGUCACGGAUCUUUACCGGGGGCGGGGCUUUAGAGCGCGCCAGAAGCAAGCACGUGCGGGAUUCUGCGAUAUCCUCUCUUCGGGGCUCUGAGGUGCUGUAGUAUUAUUGGUGUUAAUCCAUCUGAAGAACAGAUCAUUUGUGUUGUGGAUCGGUGAAAAAACACUGAUGAGCUGUUGAUGGCGAUUUAACUUCUCCAGGUUCUUUGGUCACGGUGAGGAGGACCUGUUUUAAACAGAGGAUCGAACCGUGUGUGAUCUCUGCUCAAACACAGCUGUUCUUACUGUGAUUUUAUUUCACAUUUACUUAUUUAUGUUCUGUCAUGUGUGUGAAUGUGAUAAUUUACUCAUGACUUCAAGCUCUUUCUAAACACUGUAGUUUAAUGUUGUUUAAACCAGUGGUUCCCAAACCUGUGCCUGGUGACCUACUGCUCUGCACAUUCUGCAUGUGACUCAAGUCAUCAGCUCAUUAACGGAGAGAACCAUGAACUGAAGUAAGCCUGCCGGUUAAAGGAGACCUACAAAAUGUGCAGAGCAGUGGGUCCACACUAGUUACAGGUUUGGGAACCACCGGUUUAAAUCAAGUCAUGUCUGCAAGUGCUCUGAUGUAGAGAAGUGUUAAUUUGUUAAUUAUGAAGAUAAUUGUACAUCAGUACGCAGGACCGUCACUGUGAUGUCAUACGCUGAUCAGUCUGUGCAGUGCCUCAUGAAGUUGAACGCGUCUAGUGUUGUCUGUCUUACAAUAUGACAAUGUAUAGCCAUGACAUGGACUAGUACAUCUAAUAAAACAGCUGCUGUAAUGUAGAAGACGGGUGUGUGCAGCUUUAUUCUGUGCUGCUGUCUACAGCAACAAAAUUACACCAGAUCUGAUCUAAGCAGUCAGACUGAAACAGAUUUCUAGAAAUGAGAUCUGGAUAGGAUUUUAAAACCACAUACAAAUGCAGCCGGAAACAGAUUUGUAAUAUUGUAUUUAAUGUGAUUGUUUGUUGUCCACACUUGCUACGUAUGGCCAGAUGUGAAUCAGACGUGCACAAAAAUCAGAUUUGGACUGAUAGUGUCAAUGGCGAAUGUCACGUGACUAAACCGCUAAACGCGUCUCCUUACAUGCGUUUGUUUUAUUAGCAGUAUGGAUUUUAAGAUAAUCAGCUAACCUAGCUAGCUGUUUAUGUUUUUAGGCGUUUUGUGAUAUUUUAGUAAUCAAAUGUCUGUGAGAAGGGACAAAAACGUUAUAUAUCAAUCUGUUUAUGUGAUGGGCAUCAAUUUUGAUCGUCUUUCCCUGUUGAAAAAACAGCGUAUGCUGGUUUGGUAUGUUUUGAUGCAGAUUUGUGCGGGUUUAAGCUGGUCAAACCAGCAUCAAAACUCACCUAACCUUUUUUUCAGCAGGGUUGGUAGCGAAGUACAUGUUGAGUAAAACGGCUCUUUAUGUAAUGGAGCGCACACAAAAGAUUUAAACCGGAUGCGAUGAUGAGACUUGUUUUCCAGUUUCUGUGUGUGACGUUCGGUACAAACCCCUCACUACCAGGUAGCCCACUUGUUGCCUUUGACUUGUCUUGUCAGUAUGUGAUGUGUACAGUAGAUGGCGCCAGUGCUCGUGUUACUGUACACAUGAAUCCACUGAAUAUCCUUACUGCUCAUAUGAGAGGUGAAGAUGUUACCAUGGAAACUGAGCCGUCAGCACACCUGCAGCUGCUGUCUGCGCAAGUCAACAUCCCAUUUACAUCAAACCCACACACCUGUGGUUAGACAGUGGGGUGGGGGCUUGUAUGAUAUGAAGAAGUGUAAUCACUGUAGAGGAGUCUGAGGCUUCAGAAACUAAUUCACAGGGUGGUUUUUGAGUUCUAAAUGUUGAUUUCUAGAUUGCUCAACAGAAGGAUUUAUUGAACACACAAAAAACACGUAGAGGCAUCAAAUUAUGGAAACUUCAAGAGACUGAUGACAUGCAUGUAAAGUUGUCAAAUCCACUGAUAGGGCUGGAUGGAUGGAUGGAUGGAUGGAUGGGGGAUGGGGGGGGGUUGUGUUUGCUCGAGUGAUGUAAUCCAUCUAGUUGCUGCUCUGAUCUGUGUAUUGGACAGAAUGAACAAAUAAACCAAUGCUGCCAAAGUCACUUCACACACACACAUGCAUGUUUCUGUGUUUGCUGUUUGUAAAUGAAUCUCCCUCUUUCAGUUAUUGCGUUUCUGAUAUUUCAUGCAGCAACUUUUGAUUUCUAAUGUUUCCUCAGCAUUAUUUCAGCUCACUCAUCUGAAGUGCCCAUGUUUGUGUAAAAUAAAUCUGCACUGACUCGAGUGUUUGUGUGUUAUGAGACAUGAGAAGCACACACCAUCAGCUGUAUACUUAGCCAAUCGGAUUGUUUCUUGUGUACAUUUUCUUGAUUGAAUCUCUCUCUCUCUGCUGCACUGGCUGGUUCAGUGUGUUUGCUGUCCUGAAUGUAAAGUGUGUCCUUUGGUCUUUUCUGGAGCAGGAAGACAGAACAUCUAAAAA